rnacentral:lncRNA from 1 species
UAGAGACUUGGUAUUGGGUUUAUGGCAGACACUCAACAAAGACUGAGGGUUCUCUCCCAUUCUCCCUCAGUAUGGGAUUAGAGUCACGUGGCCACCCUCAGUCCUACAGAAAUCCUCCUCAGGUUUUGUCCAGAGAGAGAGAGAGAGAGAGAUCUGACUGCUGCUGGUUCUGAAAAUGGAGGAAGGGCCAUGGACAAAACAAGAAAUGCGGAAGCUAAAAUUUCCAUAACCUCAAUUUAAUGUUUCCACCAAUGUAGUUGAAAUUUACCUUGAUUUAUGGUAUUCUAUGUUAUAUGCUGCUUUCCACACUGAAAGAUGGAAUUUGGGGUAACCUGAUUCUGUGUUCCUGGGCCAUGGUUACCUGGGCCUCAUAUUUGGCUGCAGAAUAAACUAUGUCUGCAUCCCCUUUGAGGUGAGAGCUGUGCUUUUGCGUGACAACAACAAGCCCCAACGUUAAUAUCCAUCAAGCGAGAUAUGCCCCCUGCUCUUAUAGGCUGAGGUAUGCCAUUUUAUAACCAUAAGAUGGAACUGAUCUGUUUGGUGACAAGUAAAGGGCUAGCAAGGGAAGUUAG